GGUGAGUAACACGUGGGCAAUCUGCCCUGCACUCUGGGACAAGCCCUGGAAACGGGGUCUAAUACCGGAUAACACCCCCUCUCGCAUGGGAGGGGGUUGAAAGCUCCGGCGGUGCAGGAUGAGCCCGCGGCCUAUCAGCUUGUUGGUGAGGUAGAAGCUCACCAAGGCGACGACGGGUAGCCGGCCUGAGAGGGCGACCGGCCACACUGGGACUGAGACACGGCCCAGACUCCUACGGGAGGCAGCAGUGGGGAAUAUUGCACAAUGGGCGAAAGCCUGAUGCAGCGACGCCGCGUGAGGGAUGACGGCCUUCGGGUUGUAAACCUCUUUCAGCAGGGAAGAAGCGAAAGUGACGGUACCUGCAGAAGAAGCGCCGGCUAACUACGUGCCAGCAGCCGCGGUAAUACGUAGGGCGCAAGCGUUGUCCGGAAUUAUUGGGCGUAAAGAGCUCGUAGGCGGCUUGUCACGUCNGUUGUGAAAGCCCGGGGCUUAACCCCGGGUCUGCAGUCGAUACGGGCAGGCUAGAGUGUGGUAGGGGAGAUCGGAAUUCCUGGUGUAGCGGUGAAAUGCGCANAUAUCANGAGGAACACCGGUGGCGAAGGCGGAUCUCUGGGCCAUUACUGACGCUGAGGAGCGAAAGCGUGGNGGAGCGAACAGGAUUAGAUACCCUGGUAGUCCACGCCGUAAACGGUGGGAACUAGGUGUUGGCGACAUUCCACGUCGUCGGUGCCGCAGCUAACGCAUUAAGUUCCCCGCCUGGGGAGUACGGCCGCAAGGCUAAACUCAAAGGAAUUGACGGGGGCCCGCACAAGCAGCGGAGCAUGUGGCUUAAUUCGACGCA
rnacentral:rRNA from 1 species